AUUGAGCGCUGGCGGCGUGCUUAACACAUGCAAGUCGAUCGGUAACAGGUGUAGCAAUACAUGCUGACGAGAGGCGGACGGGUGAGGAAUAUUUGGGAAUCUGCCCAUCAGCGGGGGACAACCCGGGGAAACUCGGGCUAAUACCGCAUACGCUCUACGGAGGAAAGCCGGGGACCGCAAGGCCUGGCACUGAUGGAUGAGCCCAAAUCGGAUUAGCUAGUUGGCGGGGUAACGGCCCACCAAGGCGACGAUCCGUAGCUGGUCUGAGAGGACGAUCAGCCACACCGGAACUGAGACACGGUCCGGACUCCUACGGGAGGCAGCAGUGGGGAAUAUUGGACAAUGGGGGAAACCCUGAUCCAGCGACGCCGCGUGGGUGAAGAAGGCCUGCGGGUUGUAAAGCCCUUUCGGUAGGGAGGAAAUCUCUUGUCUUAACACGGCAAGGGUUUGACUUAACCUACAUAAGAAGCACCGGCUAACUCUGUGCCAGCAGCCGCCGUAAUAC
rnacentral:rRNA from 1 species